GCUUGUCUCAAAGAUUAAGCCAUGCAUGUCUAAGUACAAGCCUCAGUAAGGUGAAACCGCGAAUGGCUCAUUAAAUCACACCUAAUCUACUGGAAAGUUACUAGUUACUUGGAUAACUGAGGUAAUUCUUGAGCUAAUACAUGCUAAAAACCCCGACUUUUGGAGGGGUGUAUUUAUUAGAUAAAAAACCAAUGCCCUUCGGGGCUCCUUGGUGAUUCAUAAUAACUUAACGAAUCGCAUGGCCUUGUGCCGGCGAUGGUUCAUUCAAAUUUCUGCCCUAUCAACUUUCGAUGGUUAGGUCUUGGCUAACCAUGGUUUCAACGGGUAACGGGGAAUUAGGGUUCUAUUCCGGAGAGUGAGCCUGAGAAACGGCUAACACAUCCAAGGAAGGCAGCAGG
rnacentral:rRNA from 1 species